GCUGUGAUGAAUUGUUAGUUUUGAUCAGAAAUGAACUGAAACUACAUAACAAAUUCCUCUAAGAAGUUCUGAGCUC
rnacentral:snoRNA from 1 species